AUGGAGAAGGAGAAGAAGA
rnacentral:sRNA from 1 species